CCGAUGGAGGUAAGCCAUCUCCCCCAUCUAGCACUCGCGCUGCGCACCUGCGCCCCUCUCCUCUCUCUCCCUCCGAACCCUAGCUAGACCGCGCCCUCCUCCCUGUCCUGCCGUCGUCGUUUCCUCCACCCGGCCAGCCGCCGCCGCACCUCCUCCGCACCUCCUCCGCCCGGCCAGCCGCCGCCACUCGCGCCCGUCUCCUCCGGCCAGCCUUCGCCCGCAACCUCCCCCCUCCCGUUUUCAGAAGGGAAGGGAAGGGAAGAGAAGAGGGAGAGCGAGCGAGUCAGGCGACGGGAAGGGAAGAGAAGAGAAGAGGAAGAGCGAGCGGGUCAGGCGACGGCCAUGGCCAUGGCGCUCGCAGAUCCGCCGGCCCCGUCGUCGCCGCUGCGCUCGCAGGUGAGCAGCGCCGGGAGAAGCCGCGGGAGGACGAGCUCAACGGCGCCCCGGGCGCUCACUGCCAAGAAGCGGAGGAGGAACUCGACCUGGACGACCGCCGCUGGACGAAGAGCCCCGAAAAAUUCCCCCAACCACGCCUGCGCCACCGCCUCUUCACCUUCAACCACGGGUUGCAGCGGUCAGAGGACCAAGUUGAAGCAUACUUGGCAAAUGGGCCUUGCCGUGAGUCAUGGUGCAACAGUGACCUCGAUGAGCAGGGCAAUGGUCAGAUACGAGUCAGCACCAAAGAUGACUGGAAGCACUCAUAACAGUUUACCAUGCUAGAGCUAUGUCAGGCUGUACAAGGGCAGUUAAUGAAUAUACUUGUGACACUUAUACUCUCAGCAAUGCCGACAAACAUGGUUUAUGAUGAUAUUGGUGGUCUGAAGCUUUAGAUCGUCGGGGCUGCUCUCAUUCGUUCAAUUUGCCCCUGAUCCUUCCAUUCUGCUGCUGCUCAUUAUUAUCAUACGAAGGCUGAUCUAUGUUCUCUGUUUGUUGGGUCCUCCGUGUCAUUAUCAACAAGGAACAUGUAUAUCCUUUCAAGUUCACUGAUGUGGUUACCACUACAACACACGUCCCUCCAAGGACCAAGGGUGGGCAUGAUCUUCUACAAGGCAAAACCAUUUCCUGUUUGGAUGAUGCACAUGGGUAUGUUUUUGUUAGUUUUCGGUGAUGUACGUCGUGAAGCAGGACGGGCGGACGGAGACGGUGCACUUCAACAAGAUCAUGGUGCGGCUCAAGAAACUCAGCUAUGGGCACUUCGACAAGAGCACUAUGACCCGUGCUCGUCGCGCAGAAGGUCUGCGUAGAAGGUCUGCGUCAGGGUAUACAUGGGUGUCACCACCAGCCAGCUCGACGAGCUCGCCGCCGAGACCGCCGCCGCACUCACCGCCUCCCAGCCUGACUAUGCCUCUCUUGCGGCGAGGAUUGUUGUGUCCAACCUGCCGCCAAGUGGAAAUAGUCUGUGUGGCGCUCAUAAAUAAAGAGCAUUCUUGUAGAAAGGUACAAGAAAGAAUAGGGAAACUUCUGUCAUUUUCUUUGGUCUCUUAAAAAUAAAUGGUGAUAUGGGCUGAUACAUUGCUAAAUUACAUGAUACAAACUCACUUCUCUUUUUUGAUUUUUGGUUUACUUCGUUGUGCUACAAUGGCUCUCCUAGGAAUGUUCUUCCAUGUUUUGAUGUGCACAAUAAUCCAGAAAGUGCAUGCAUCCAGAAACCAAAUAGGAUUUUUUGUGUGUUAUCUUCUCAUAAAUCUUGUGCUCGUCCAAUAAGAAUAAGGUUUGGUGGUAUUGCUUUUGUUUGUCACCCGGUAGAUUUCAGACUUCAAGCUAGCUGCAGUUAUUUCAGGUUAUAUGUGCAAAUCCUUGGUGUGACAUGAUUGGUAACUGAUCACGAAUACGUUGCAAUCUCAUAUGUCUAAUUCUUAAUUUAUGUGGUACCAUGGUCUAAAAAUUGGUCCUAAAGAUACAUGAUGUUUUUGUAGAAAGUUAAGACAGUUAUUUUGAAACGGAGGGUGUAUUAUAUUAUUUUGUUCCUUUUUAAUUUGGUUCUAAAGAUAUGGUUUCAGAGUGAUCAUUUUGCAUCAGCCAAGCUUGCCGUUGUUACAAAUAGUUGUUCUGUUGUCCUCAAUUCACUUUCUCGGUUUUUUAAUGCCACAAGCAUUAUUGUUUCAUUUUUUUAGUUAUUGAUCAUGCCAUUUUUCUUUCUGCCUUUGUAGCUGAAAGAUUAGUGAGACUGACUAAAUUCUAAACAUGUUCCAUGUGACAUAAAUAGCAUAUUGAUUUCAUCUUGAAAUAAUCAUAGCUGAGGGACGAGGUUCGUAACCGAGAGUCAUGUGCAGAGCUGGAGGAAGAAGUUGCGAGGCUUGGAACUCUCCUUGUGAAAGGCUCAAGGACAGCAGUGAGGACAAUGCCUCUUUAGUUGUAAUUGUGAUACUUCUGAUGUGCAAGUAAACACUCCUGUGAUACUUCUUGUGCUAAAAUGUUGGUUGUUAGUACAGAGAUGGUGACAUUAUUUGGUUCUCUUGGUAUUGAUUUCAUGAUUUGUGGUUAAUACAUGAUGUAAUACAAUUCACAUUGCAUUAUAUUUCGAGUUAUAUCUCUUA